rnacentral:rRNA from 1 species
CAGCAGCCGCGGUAAUACGUGGGGUGCAAGCGUUAUUCGGAAUUAUUGGGCGUAAAGGGCGCGCAGGCGGCCUGUUAAGUCAGAUGUGAAAGCCCGGGGCUUAACCCCGGAGGCGCAUUUGAUACUGGCAGGCUUGAGUAUGGGAGAGGGAAGUGGAAUUCCUGGUGUAGCGGUGAAAUGCGUAGAUAUCAGGAGGAACACCGGUGGCGAAGGCGACUUCCUGGACCAAUACUGACGCUGAGGCGCGAAGGCGUGGGUAGCAAACAGGAUUAGAUACCCUGGUAGUCCACGCAGUAAACGGUGAUCACUAGGUGUAGCGGGUAGUCGACCCCUGCUGUGCCGGAGUUAACGCAUUAAGUGAUCCGCCUGGGGAGUACGAUCGCAAGGUUAAAACUCAAAGGAAUUGACGGGGGCCCGCACAAGCGGUGGAGCAUGUGGUUCAAUUCGACGCAACGCGAAGAACCUUACCUGGAUUUGACAUUCCGAGAAGUCUUUCGAAAGAUAGAUGUGCCCUUCGGGGAACUCGGUGACAGGUGCUGCAUGGCUGUCGUCAGCUCGUGUCGUGAGAUGUUGGGUUAAGUCCCGCAACGAGCGCAACCCUUAUCUUUAGUUGCCAGCAUUCAGUUGGGGACUCUAGAGAUACUGCCCCGGUUAACGGGGAGGAAGGUGGGGAUGACGUCAAGUCCUCAUGGCCUUUAUGUCCAGGGCUACACACGUGCUACAAUGGGCGGAACAAAGGGUCGCAAGCCUGCGAAGGUUAGCUAAUCCCAUAAAACCGUUCUCAGUUCGGAUUGGAGUCUGCAACUCGACUCCAUGAAGUUGGAAUCGCUAGUAAUCGUGGAUCAGCAUGCCACGGUGAAUACGUUCCCGGGCCUUGUACACACCGCCCGUCACACCAUGAGAGUUGGUUGUACCAGAAGUUGUUGGGCCAAUCCUUCGGGAGGGCAGGCACCUAAGGUAUGGCUGAUGAUUGGGGUGAAGUCGUAACAAGGUAACCGUA